GAUGAACGCUGGCGGCGUGCUUAACACAUGCAAGUCGAGCGAAGCACUUUACUUUGAAUUCUUCGGAAUGAAGAGUGAUUUGACUGAGCGGCGGACGGGUGAGUAACGCGUGGGCAACCUGCCUCAUACAGGGGAUAACAGUUAGAAAUGACUGCUAACACCGCAUAAGACCACAGUACCGCAUGGUAAUGGUGGUAAAAAACUCCCGGGUGGUAUGAGAUGGGGCCCGCGUCUGAUUAGGUAGUUGGUGGGGGUAACGGCCUACCAAGCCGACGAUCAGUAGCCGA
rnacentral:rRNA from 1 species